GUUUAUUUGAUUUACUCAGGGUACAAUAAAAGAACAUGUAAAUGUAUGAAAUGAUGAAAUAACUUUUAAAGGGAAAGUAGAACACAGUACAAAGAAAAUAUGGUUUCUUUACUUUUCAAUUACACACUAUACAAUGAGGAAAAUUUUUAAAAUACUGUAUCAUAUUUAACACCUUUAGUGGUAAGCAAUACUUUUGCUAAGAGACUAAUAAAUCACAUAAAAAAAAUCCACAAAACUCUAAUGUGAUCCUGACUGACAUUUUUAAAUAUAUUCUCAUCUUUUUUUUCAAGCAACUACAUUUAGCAAUAGAAUGUUUUAGUUGGUAUUAUUACUACAUUUCUAUGGCAAAGUAAUGAAGGCACAACUAGUGCAAGCAGAUUUAAGUCUUUAGUCUUCUGGCCUGAAAAAAGAAAGAGAAAACACAUGUAUAUUGGCAUUUAAAGUGUUGCUUAUUCAGGCAAAGAUUUCUCUAACAAGUCUGACAAUUUUCACAGGUACAAUCUUAUAGCAACAUGACAAAAACUGACUUCACAAAACCAACACUGUAGCACCAAACAAAACAUGCUUUGGAAAUUAACAGCAGUUUACAUACUUUGAAGAAUAUUACAAUACAACAGGCAAGAUAGAAUAAACAGAAACUUAAGACACCUUUUAGGACAUUACCAGGAAAAAUGAAAACAUCAGACUAUAAGGAGUAAUAGUGUUCAAGUUAUAGGGCAAGUUUUAUAUUUUAUAAGGUUAGAUGACUCUAUUUCACUUCUGCUUGCUUGACUUUUAAGAAUUCUUGAAAAAUCUUUCAGCUUGCCCUUCUUACUUGUAGUACUUCCUGUUUCCAUAAUCCCUGAAAUCAUGGUAGUAGGGAUCAUUGAUUUCUCCUGUGAAGUAAUAGAUUGACUUCAAGAUGACAUUAUCAUGCAAAAUUUGACCAAUCUCAAAGUCCUCAUCAAGGAUAGCAUCUUCUUUUGGUUCCAGCUUCCCAAUCAAAGGAAUCUCAGGAGGACUGAAGAAAUUGAAGAAGGAUGCAUUAGGAACCACUCUUGGCUGGACUUCAAUUUCCCCUGUAAUAGCUGGGCGACUCCUGGUUGUCACUGUAACAUCUUUUCCUCGUCUCCAAUCUAUUUUGCAGCCUUUACACUCUUCAAUUUCCCAUCCCCAAGCGAAGAAAGGGUCAUAGUGAUCUGGUUUUGACCUUAUUAUGUAUGUCUUCAUCAGGAGCUCAUUUCUGAAGUAUGGGUUAGGAAGAAAAUGAAAUUCAAAAGUGUAACUUAUAGGCUGGCCAGGGUUUGAGAACUUCAGGCUAACAUCAGAUAAGAACUUCAAAAUGGGUUCAUCACACUUUUGAAUCAUAGGCCCAAGCUUAUCAACAUUCUUUAAAACAGUCAGCCAGUAGUCAGGAAUACCUCUAGGUGGAUCUUCUUUCUUAGGUUUUCCCUUUCGAGCCCUUUUAAUAUUGACUCUUUCUUCAGGCCUUGUCUCAGGAACUCUUUUUUGAGCCUCUCUUACUGGAGCCCUUGGUGUAGAGUCUUCUGUAGGCUGAUCCGUAUAUUCUGCAUUUGCCUGGGUAACAUCUUUGAGGUCUUCUUUUUCUUCAGGAGCUAUAUCUAUACAAUCUGUAGAGUCUGUUUUUUCUUCAACUUUUACCUCAGGAAAUUCUUUAGAGGAUUCCUGUUCUUCAGCUUUUUCUUCGGGACCUUCUUUUGGAAUUUCUUUUUCUUCGGUUUUCACCUCAGAAGUUUCUUUGGGAGCCUCCUCUUCUUCAACUUUUGCCUCAGGAACUUCUUCUGGAACAUCUUUUACUUCUUCUUUCACUUCAGUAUUUUCUUUGCCAAUUUCUUCUUCCUCCUCACCCUCUAAGGGUGGCAUUUCAUUAGGUGUGUCAUCCUGCAUUUCUUCAUCACCACUGAACUCUUCUUCUGAAUUCCAUUCACAUUCUUCUUCGGUGGGCUCAUAUUCUGCAUUUAUGAUCUGAAAACGCUUAUCAUAUAAGGGCUUAUUGAGUUCAGCAUACUUUCUUUCAAGAUCAUGAAUUGCCCUUAAGAACAAAGUGUCUACUUUGUCACACUCAUUCUGAAUAUUUCUGAGAGCCUGCACCCGAUUUCUUACUGCUUGGGGCAGCUUAUCCAUGAAUAGUUUCCCGGAGGGACGUCGCUGGGCCCUUCUCGAAGGCCCAGGUACCCUCUUCUUUUGGUGUAAGUGACUGCCAUUGCUGCUGCUGCCACUGCUACCACUACUGCUGCUGCUGCUGCUGCUGCUGCUACUACUGCUGCUGCUGCUGCUGCUGCCGGUGCUGCCGCAACUAGUGGUACUGCUAGAGCUAUUGCUGUCAGAUUCGUCCCCAGAAUCACAAGCUGAGCUAGCCAUCGCCUCUUCAGCAACCCCUUGGGCAGCAGGUUCUGUGACCAUUUUAGGAUCCGCUUCUGCCAUACUGCUAGCCCCGUACACCUCUUUAAGGUGGUGACAACAGCAGAGACCGCGCACCAAGAGAUGGACAGAAAAGGACUCACGGAUGAUCCGGCGGCGGCGGCGGCGGCGGUGGCGGUGGCGGUGGCGGUGGCGGUGGCGGUGGCGGUGGCGGUGGCGGUGGCGGUGGCGGUGGCGGCCGGAGCUGGUCAGGCGGCGGAGACUGCGGCGGCGGUGGCAGGGAACCAGUGUCAGCAGCGACUGCAGCGGCUGUGGCAGCUGGGCGGUGGGGGCGGGACCACAGAGGUAGAGCGCAGGAAACCGCGGCAGGGAAAGACGCCCUGAGCCUUAGCUACCAGGGCAGUCAGGUCGCAAUGGACCAGUGCCGAGACCUGCCGCAGUCCAGUGACGCAGUACCGGAGCCAGAACCGAUUCCUGGUGGGCAGCCCCUCCCUUGUUGACACCUCUCCUG
ensembl:lncRNA